AUGGCAUAUAGUCUAGUGAAGCCAAAGAACUAACAUGAUUAUACUAAUAAUCAUCAAACUGAUAAUUCUGCAGCAUUUUUCAGAAUCCAGUGAUGUUACACAGACACCAGUAUUAUGGGUUCAACAGGGUGAAUUUGCACAAAUGAACUGCAGUCAUACUAUGGGUGCAGGCUAUAACUACAUGUAUUGGUUUCAACAACGAAAGGGAGAAACAAUGAGACUCAUUGCCUCCAUUAUAACAGGCAGCAAUCCAGAUUUUGGUGAAUUUUCUGAUGAUAAAUACUCAGCUGAAAAGACUGUAGCUGAUAAAGGGUCUUUCACAGUGAAGAAGCUGCAGCCCGAUGACAGUGGUGUGUAUUUCUGUGCAGUGAG